rnacentral:sRNA from 1 species
AUCGAGAGGGGCUCCGGAGAAGGAAGGCUGCUCCGCGCACCGGCGCGCCCUUCUCCUCUCCCCUCCCUACCUCCCCCUCUCUUCCCCCUUUUUUCCCCCGCCUCCCGUCUUCUUCCGCGCCUCCGAGGGUCCGCCUCUGCCUCGGGGACCCCCGGGCGGGCCGGGGCUUGGCCGCCGAGGUGCGCCCCGGCCGGAGGGGCCCCCGCACCUCGGCGGCCGCCCCCUCCGGCGCCGCGCGUUCGCGAAAGGCGCGAAAGGGGCCCCCGGAGGCUUUUUUCGAUUCCCGGCCGGGGGUCCCGGGUAGCCGCCCGGCGCCGGUCGGAAGGCGUCCCCCGCCCGGCGGUCCGGCCCGGGCCCCCGGCGGAGCGCGGGGGCCCCGGGGCCCCGGGCCGCGCCGGCGGCGUUUCCGCGUUCCGUUUCUUCUCCCUCCCGGCCGCCCCGCUCCCGGGCCCGACCCUCGCCCCUUCCCUUCUCCUCGUCUUCCCCCGUCCCGCCGCGCCCCUUCCCUCUUCCUUCUCUCUCUCUGUCUCGCUGUCUCGCUCUCCUCACAUUUCCCCCCCCCCCCCCGCCGCCGCCGCCGCCCUCUGCCCGCGUCCCACCGAGACGCCGCGCCGCGUGAGCCGUCCGCCGGGGGACCCAGGCUCCGGGGGGGGGGCGCGCCUGCGUGUGUCUCGUGUGAGAGAGCGCGCCCCUCGAACGCCGCGCGUUCUCGCAGGGACGCGACGCUCCCACCAGCCCCGCCCGCAGAGGAAGAGGCGGAGGAGGAGGAGGAGGAGGCGGAAGAGGAGGAGGAGGAGGCGGAAGAGGAGGAGGAGGAAGAGGCGGCGGCGGCGGCGACCGCGGCCUGGGACGACGGAGACGCCGACGGGGGCGCGGCGCCCGCGGACGCCGGGGCGAGCGGCCCGUGGCCGCGCCCGCCCGAGUCCGAGUCCGGGGCCCGGCGCGGCGCCGCCCUCUUGGCCCCCACCCCCUGGGGGGCGAGGGGCGAGCGCGGGGCGGCGGAGGAAGAGGCGGAGGACGAGGCCGCAGGGCCCGAGUCCGACCCGCGCCUCUUCCGGGGGCGGGCCGCCGCCCCCUCCGCGGCGUGGGGGGCGGCACCGGGGGUGUUGGUGCCGCGGGGGACCCCGGGUCCUCCCUCCGCGCCCGGCCCUCCCGACCCGCGCGCGUCGGUCGCGCCUGCCCGGCCCAGACUCUGUGCUUGGGUGUCGGUCUGAGCCUGGGUCAUGCGCGACCGGGGCGCGCGGUGCGCGUCCACCGGCACGGCGGGCGGCGCGGGCCCGGCCGCGUCCGCGCUCGCAGACACCACGGGGGCGGCGGCGGCGCGGGGCGGACUCCGGACGCGCGGGGCGACGGCCGCGCGGGGGCGCGCCGCGCGCCCCGACGACUGUGGCAGACCUCCCCCCCCGGGGCCCGAGGACACCUGCGCGGAGGAGGAGGAGACAAAGGAGAGCGGCCCGGGGCCCGCGGGGCGGCGCGGAGACGGCGGGGGAGAGUCGCUGAUGACUAUGGGGGGCUCCUGGGCCGCGCGGGGCUGUCUCGCGGGGGGCGUCCUGCCCUCCGCCGCCGCGGCGUCUUCGCCCACCCGCCGCGCCUGCGCGCGCCCCCCGCCGGCCGCAGGGGGAAGAGAGGCCACUCUCGGCACGACGGCCGCGACGGCAGGGCCGCCCCCAGACCCAGAUCCCACCCCCGCCCGCAACGGGGCGCCGCCGCUGCUGCUGCUCCGCGGGGCGCCAGGGGGCGCCGGUCGGGUCGCGGCGGGCUGGGAGGUUCCGCGGGUCGCCCCCGCACCGCCGCCCCCGCGCCGGGGCGCUCUUCGGGGGGCGGGCGGGACGUAGUCCGCUGCAGAGGGAGACAGAGACGGGAACCCCCGGUUAGUGCCCGACCCCCGCCCGACCCCCGCCCAGUGCCCGACCCCCGCCCAGUGCCCGACCCCCGCCCAGUGCCCGACCCCCGCCCAGUGCCCGACCCCCGCCCGCCCUCACCGUCGGCCAGGUCAUCGUCCUCGUCGUCCGUGCCGGGCCACGGGGGGGUGGGCGACAGGGCGCGGACCGUGUGUCCCCCCAGCGACAGGGAGCGCGGGGCCGUCCGCGGGUUGCCCGUCCAGAUAAAGUCCACGGCCGUGCCGGACCGCACGGCCGCCUCGGCCUCCACGCGGGUCCGGGGGUCGUUCACUAUCGGGAUGGUGCUGAACGACCCGCUGGCGGUCACGCCCACUAUCAGGUACGCCACCGGGGUGUUGCACAGGGGACACGUGUUGCGCAACGGAAUCCAGGUCUUCAUGCACGGGAUGCAGAAGGGGUGCAGGCAGGGAAAACUCUGGCAGCGCAGGGGCGGGGCGAUCUCGUCCGUGCACACGGCACACACGUCGCCCCCCCCUCCCGCUUCCGCUUCCUCCUCACCCACGGGCCCACCCCCGCAGGAUCCCUGCGCGUCGGCGGGCGUGGGGCUGCCCUGGCGCUCGGCCGGGGGCCGGGCCGGGGGCGUGGCCGCGUCCAUCAGGCCCGCCUCGAACAUCUCCGUGUCCGUGCUGCCCGCCUCGGAGGUGGAGUCGCGGUGAAGGUCGUCGUCAGAGAUUCCCACCUCGGUCUCCUCCUCCGAGUCGCUGCUGGCGAGCCACUGCAUGUCGUUGAGCAUCCCCCAGGCGUGCGGGGCGGCGGGCUGCUUGACAAAGAAACGGGGGGGGAUUUAGAGGGCGCGGGGCGUGAGGCGGGACCCCCGUGCCGUGUCCCCCGUGUCCCUCCCUCACCCCGGCCCCCCGCCCGCUGCUUUUUGUUCGGAAGGGGGGGAGAAAGGGGUCCGUAACCAAAGGUGGUCUGCGUCCUUUGGAUUCCGACCCCUCGUCUCCCCCCCCUGUCCCCCGCUCUCGGGCUCAGGGCUCCCUGCCUCCCUCGCCCCCCCAAAGGGUCGGGGGGCGGCGCACGGCCCACGGGGGUCCCCCGACCGCUUAAGCGGGCCGGGGGUCGGCCCCGUCAAGCGUCCCCGCCCCCGAGCCCACCGCCCGCGACCACCCCCAACCCGCAGCCGGGUGGUCCGGGGAAAAGGGGGGGCCUGAGACCCGGGGGUCGCCCUCUCACCGUGCCGGGGGUCUGCCGCGGCGGCCGCUCGGGGCCGGGGUCCGCCCGGGAGCUCGUGCCGGGCCGGGGUUCCAUGAGCCGGGGUAGGGUAGACUCGAGACGGCGGCCCGCGGUCUCUCUCUUGCCGGGUGUUAGUCUCUGUCUCUCCGGGUCUCCUCCUCCCGCCGGGCCGCCGCUCCGUCGCUCGCAGUGCCGGGGUGCGAAUGCGGCCCGACCGUCACACGGGGCUGCCUUAUACCCGGCGCCUAUCCACUCCCCCAAAGGGGCGGCAUUUACGAUUCCCCCAAUAGCCGCGCGCCCCGGCGGGGGCGGAGGGAGGGAAUCCCCCCCUCUCGGGGCGGCCCCGUCCCCGGGGACCAACCGGGUGUACUCCAAGAACCCCAUUAGCAUGCGCCGCCCCCCGCCGACGCAGAUGGGAGUCCCCCCGGCGCCCCGCCGGCGCGGCCCUGAGUGGUGCCCGCCCCCGGGGAGAAAUUCAUUAGCAUACUAGGAAGCCCAGGGGACCAAUAGGGGCCGAUCAGCCCACCCACCCGGCGGCGCGCGAGGCUCUGCGUGUUCUGCCAAGAAAGUAAUCAGCAUAACCCGGAACCCCGAGGGAGUAAUUACGCGGGGAGCGAGGGGCCGUCCGAACGUUUUUAAUUACCAUAAGCGGGAAUGGCGGCCCGUUAAAAGCUGCUAAUUACCGCGAGCGGGAACGCCGGCCCAUUAAAAGUUGCUAAUUACCAUGAGCGGGGAUGGCGGCCGGGACCGCCUAUUAAAAGUUUCUAAUUACCAUACCGGGAAGCCGGCGCGGGGCGGUCGCCGGGGCGGAGUCCGGGCCCGCGCGGCGGCGCGCGGUUGGCCGGCGCCGCCCCCUGGGGCGGGCGGAGCGGCGGGGCGGCGCCGGGCCCUCGCGGAUAUAUACGCGGGGCUCCCAUCGUCUCUUCGGAGAGCGGCCUCGCGCAGACCUUCGGAGCUCCGGGGCUCCGCCGGCCGAGGCCGCCCUCGCCGGUUCAACCCUAGACCGCCCGACGGCCCGGGCCCGCGGCGGCGGAGGACCCGCGCGCCGCCGCCGCCGCCUCCUCCUCCUCCUCCGCGGGUCCGCCGUCUUCGUGGGCCCGGGCUCGGGCUCGGGCCCGAGCUCGGGCCUCGGGUUCCAGGCACGGUCCGAUGACCGCCUCGGCCGCCGCCACGCGGCGCCGGAACCGGUCGCGGUCGGCCCGCUCGCGCGCCCAGGACCCCCGUCGGGCCAGGCGCGCGGCCGUCUCCCAGGCCACCAGAUAGCGCACCUGCACGCGCGGCGAGAAGCACACCUGCGGGCGGGGAGACACGGGGGUCAGGGGGUCGGAGGGGCGUCAGGGGGUCGGAGGGGCGUCAGGGGGUCGGAGGGGCGUCAGGGGGUCGGAGGGGAGGCGCACCUUCCCGCGCGGCGCGUCCGCGGGCGGGGACGCGGGGGGCCGCCGCCGGCGCAGGCUCAGGCGCGCCAGGUACUCCGUCGUGGUGCGCAGCCGUAGGGCCAGGUGGGGCGGAAGGGGGCGCUGCGGCCCGCGCUCCUUGCGCGGCGGCGGCGGGGGGCAGGCGGCGGCAGGCGCGGCGUGCGGGGCCUCCGGCGCCUUCCCCCCGCCCUCGCUCGGGGGGCUGUUCGCCCACUCUGCGUCGUCGUUGCCGGCGUAGUCCGCGUCGUCGCUGUCGUCCGCCUGGGGCACCAGCAGCCAGCGCCGCAGGAGCGAGGACGCGGCCGGCGCGCUCUCGACCGCGGUUCCCGAGUCGUACGCAGGGACCAUUUGGGAGUCUGCGGUUGGGAGCGCGCCGGGGCGCGGCACGGCUGGAGCGCCGGGGCGCGGCCGGCGCCGGGGACCCCGGCGGCGGGGACGCCGGCGGGACAUGGCGGGCGGCUGGGCUCGGCGUAGGCCCGGAGCCGGAGCGCGUCGGGGCGGGAGAGUUCACUCGGCACGCAUGCACGUGUAACCGCCAGUCCGUGCUUGCCUAGCGAACUCACCCGUCCCGGCUGGCGUGCGCAGCCCGGGCCGUGUUGCGGGCCCUCUUAAGGGGCGGCGGCAGGACGGGGACUCCGCCCCGCCUCCUUUCCCCCGGGGAGUCAACCCCCGGGGGGGUGUUUUUGGGGGGGG